GCUCAGGACGAACGCUGGCGGCGUGCUUAACACAUGCAAGUCGAACGCUGAAGCUUGGUGCUUGCACUUAGGUGGAUGAGUGGCGAACGGGUGAGUAAUACGUGAGUAACCUGCCCUUGACUCUGGGAUAAGCCUGGGAAACUGGGUCUAAUACUGGAUAUGACCUCCUGUCGCAUGGUGGGGGGUGGAAAGGGUUUGUACUGGUUGUGGAUGGGCUCACGGCCUAUCAGCUUGUUGGUGGGGUAAUGGCCUACCAAGGCGACGACGGGUAGCCGGCCUGAGAGGGUGACCGGCCACACUGGGACUGAGACACGGCCCAGACUCCUACGGGAGGCAGCAGUGGGGAAUAUUGCACAAUGGGCGCAAGCCUGAUGCAGCGACGCCGCGUGAGGGAUGACGGCCUUCGGGUUGUAAACCUCUUUCAGCACGGAAGAAGCGAAAGUGACGGUACGUGCAGAAGAAGCGCCGGCUAACUACGUGCCAGCAGCCGCGGUAAUACGUAGGGCGCAAGCGUUGUCCGGAAUUAUUGGGCGUAAAGAGCUCGUAGGCGGUUUGUCGCGUCUGCUGUGAAAGCCCGGGGCUUAACCCCGGGUGUGCAGUGGGUACGGGCAGACUUGAGUGCAGUAGGGGAGACUGGAACUCCUGGUGUAGCGGUGAAAUGCGCAGAUAUCAGGAAGAACACCGAUGGCGAAGGCAGGUCUCUGGGCUGUUACUGACGCUGAGGAGCGAAAGCAUGGGGAGCGAAC
rnacentral:rRNA from 1 species